rnacentral:rRNA from 1 species
UCCGUAGGUGAACCUGCGGAAGGAUCAUUAAUGAGUUGGAAGGUGGAGGUUGAUGCUGGUACAUAUAUUUAUUGUGUGUACAUGUGCUCGCCUUCACACUCUUCGUCCUCUUAACUCCUGUGCACUCUAUCAGAGUUAGUAGUAGUAUUUGUGGCGGUCAUUUGUUAUUCAUUGUUAGAGAGGGGCAACGCUUUCUGAUAAUAAUAAUCACCUUGAUUCUACUGUUACUAUGAACACUUUGACUUUAUUUAUAUACAAAUACUUUACUUGUUCUUGUGAAUGUAUAAUGCUCCUCGUGAGUGACAUACAAAUAUACAACUUUCAACAACGGAUCUCUUGGCUCUCGCAUCGAUGAAGAACGCAGCGAAAUGCGAUAAGUAAUGUGAAUUGCAGAAUUCAGUGAAUCAUCGAAUCUUUGAACGCACCUUGCGCCCCUUGGUAUUCCGAGGGGCAUGCCUGUUUGAGUGUCAUAUAAUUCUCAAUCUUCUUCUUCUUAAUUGUGAAGGGGUUUGGACUUGGAGGUAUAUGAAUGCUGGUACUGUCUGUAUCGGCUCCUCUUAAAUGCAGUAGCUGGACUGUAGCUUGCGUUGUUUGGUGUAAUAGUUUUAUAUCUAUAUUCACUGCAGCGCUUACUGAGACCGUCUGCUUCCAAUAGUCCGCCUGUGUGUCGGACAAGGUGCUUUGUUGCCUUAAACCAAUUUGACUCUUUUGAUCUCAAAUCAGGUAGGACUACCCGCUGAACUUAAGCAUAUCAAUAAGCGGAGGAA